GAUUCUUUCUUCAUGUUCAAAGCUCUUUUCAGUAUUCCAGCAGGUGCAGUCAUUGUGGACUGGUGAGAGAGGAAGAGAUAGAAAAGCAGCUUAAACUUCUGAACUGUUAAAGAACUCCCAGAGGUCUUGGCUUUGAAUACAAGAAAAGGAAUAUGAAUAUUUGCAUAUAUUUCUAGGUGCUCUUGCCACAAUUGCUGAUUAGUAGAAUGGGUUGGGUGGUGGAGUAUAGCAUAUUAUCCUACGACUGACAAAUGAAG
rnacentral:lncRNA from 1 species